rnacentral:lncRNA from 1 species
AUCUUAGGAUCCCAGCUCAAAGCUGUUCGAAUGAAAGGGGUGCAGAGGGGAUUGAUUCAGUGCCGCCAUGGAGAGCCAUAUUACAGGAAGGUAUGGACAGGGAACAGGUCUAUAGCCCAAAUAGUGUCUUCUUUCUCCUUAGGACGCCAGAGAAACAUUGUACAGGUACGUACAUGUUCUGUGCUGCUCAUGGAUGAUCCGAGAAAUGAAGGGCCAAGGAAUCCAAGUGCAACAGCAGGAGUGUGUCAGUGCUGCAGCAAUGGCCAAAGGCCACUAUGUCGUGGAAGUGAACGCCUGCUGGAUCCCUGGGAUGAGAGAAAUACUCCGCAGAUAUUCAGGUGAGUGGAAACCCAUUGGUUCUUCCUGAGUCAAUCCUCUGGAAAAUUCCACCCCAAAUUCCUGUCUCACGCAGUGCCGAAGUGUAAGACCCUGACUGGGACUGUCAGGUUGUCGCCGAUCACAGCUGCCAUUUCACUGAAGGAUGGACCAGUAAUAUUGUCCAAUAUAGAGGCAGCCAUGUGUUAGCCUGUGAGACUCCAGUCCAAUGGACUGGGACUUCAGGUCCUUAAUAUGGGGAGAGCUUUGGACCUGAAAUCCCGAAGAAAUUUUGAUUGGCUCCCCACAUGUGCUUUUUCCCUCUCCCAAAGCCCUGGAGGGGAAUAUUAUGGGAGGAGCUCUUCCCGAUUCCAGUGAGCUAAGAAUACGUCCAGAUGGUGCCUGCAUCGCUGCUCUCACUGCUGUAGUGGAGACAAAGAUGCCGGAAUCCCCAAGCUACCAGCUACCUUUAUCCAGGCAUUGACUGUGUGUCUCAUUGCAGUGUCCCCCUCCCUACUGCCAAACUCUCCAAACUCCUGUGGAAGAUAGGGGUAGCAUGUUGUGUAAUAAACCACAACCUUUUCUCUCUCUCUAUAGUGUACAUGACCCUGCACUCAAACACAGCCAGUCCCCAUUUUGUCGUGCUACAGGAUCGGAAGAGUGUGACAUUCGUGGAAGCCCUGCAGGAUAGGCCUGACCAUCAGGGCCGAUUCGAAAAUUGUAACUGCCAUUUGGGCUCCCCAGUGUUAAUGUCAGGGUGGCACUACUGGGAGAUGGAGGUGGGAGACAAGCCCGAGUUGAAGUUGGCAGUGUGUUUCAAGGGGAUGAACAGGAAGAACAACGUGCCAGUUGCCUCAGGGGACUCCUUUUCACUGAUUGCCUUCCAGUCUAUAAGUGGGGGCAGUUUCUGAAUCGCCUUCCCCUUCACCUAGCUCUCUAUGGCCCUUCCUAUCUGCCAGGCUGUAAUUUUCCUGGAUUAUGGGAUCGAAGUCAUCUCUUUCUACAAUCUAUAGGAGGCAUGCCACAUCCAGACCUUUCCUUCUGUCCACUUCUCCGGUCCACUCCAACUCAUCUUCUCCCCUUGUCUUACCUCUGGAGAUCGAAAUGUAGGGCCACUGGCCAUCGGACCACUGUGAGAGCCCAGAUUGACUUUGACCUCCCCCACCACCCUUGCUGCUGCUUGAGUUGGCCUGACAUGUUCUCCAUGGACUAGAGAGAACUUGGGCUCUGCCAUCCAUUUCCCCUUCACCCCUGCUUGUUGUAAUGCAUUUCCCAUUUAUCUCCCAUCCCCUACCUGACUCCUGAAGAUGGUUUCUAGCUAGUCUUGGAUAGGGAGCCCAGUUCGGGGAAGCUUCCAAUGGCACUGCCGCCCAAAAUCAGAAAAUGAUAUCUCUUGAAUGUUUACAAUGCGCAGGUCAUGGAACUGAAAGUUGGGAGUUGCUGAGGGUUGACGAGAGUCCACCUUACAGUCAAAGAUAUAGUAGAGAGAUAUAGUAAUUGUUCUGGGGGUGGGGACAAGGUGGAAAGUGUAUCAAAAUAUUUCAGGGGUAUGAAUGCCAAGGUAUUGAUGACAUCGAUAUCAGGUAUGAAACUCAAGUCAUUCUUCGGGUAAAAUCUGUGAAUUUGCAGUGUUCUGCAUUGCUUUGUAUCUACAAGUAUCUUUUGUGUGACCUCCUAUCUGCAUCUUCUACGAAAAAAGACUGUGGAAUAGACAGGAGAAAAUCCAUCCCAGAGGAGCAACAAGUGAGGGGCAACAUCCCAGAUGCCAAACUGUUGUACGGGCCCCAUGUCAGCAGUACUAUCCUCUACCUUUAUAUCAGUCUACAAAUAUUCAGGAUGUUACUUUUAUUCCUCCUUCACACUCUGAGUAAUUCUGAGUGUUAGAGACCUUUUCCCCUCAGGAUCACAGUAAAGGUACGAGUCCUCCAGAUUCUGGCCUAAAUGCGAAUGGCUUGGGCAGUGCUUGGCGGUUCAAAAAUACAACCACCAUCAUCACUAAUGAUCAUUGUACUAUUAUUAGUAAAAAUUAAUGGUUAUCAUUACAUUUUAGCCUCAUCAUUCUUAAUAUUCCAGCCAAUUAUUCCCUGGUACCUGGUAAUAGAUGGCUAUUGCUCUAAUGAAAACUGUCAAUGAGGAGGUCAUAGAAGUUUCCACUUCUACCCCACUGAGGGAGUCAGAGGGGUAGGUAAAAGAGCAGGCCCUCCAUCCAAAUCUGUACCCACCAUUCUUGUCACGUCGUCAGAGGAAUGAAGUUAGCCUUUGUGUCUACACUUGUUUAUUAAUAACUCUAUCUUAUAACUCUGGUGAUCAUGGCAUCAGGUCCACUUCAGAAUAGCACACGAAACUUGAUUCCGGAAUGUCGAAGGUAAACUUAUUAUGGGCAGCGAACGUACCCGGUCCUUCUGUUGUCCUUCUACAAUACAGUGGGGUCACCUUGGUGAGCAAGAAGGGCAGAAAAUAUCUGCUCUGCCCUAUAGGGUCGGGAGGAUGACCUGUGUCUCACAUACUAGAAGGGUGAGGCCUCUGCAUUAGUGAAUAUUCACUGCUUAUUUACUCCUUGGCCAGUUUCACGGUGUUGUUGCUCUAAAACAAGAAGCUUCCCUGCCUUUGUACCCACGGUGCUCACACUCAAGUCUAUUAUCCUUAGUUGGAUUCAUGUGAUAAAAAUCAUGAAAUGAUAGUAAUCAUAAAAUAAUGAAAAUAAAAUUUAAUAAGUGC